GCGCCAGUAGCUCAGCCGGAUAGAGCAACUGCCUUCUAAGCAGUGGGUCCGGGGUUCGAAUCCCUGCUGGCGCGCCA
rnacentral:tRNA from 1 species